GCCCCAGUAACGGCGAGUGAAGCGGCAACAGCUCAAAUUUGAAAUCUGGCCCCAGGCCCGAGUUGUAAUUUGCAGAGGAUGCUUUUGGCGCGGUGCCUUCCGAGUUCCCUGGAACGGGACGCCAUAGAGGGUGAGAGCCCCGUACGGUUGGACACCAAGUCUUUGUAAAGCUCCUUCGACGAGUCGAGUAGUUUGGGAAUGCUGCUCAAAAUGGGAGGUAUAUUUCUUCUAAAGCUAAAUAUUGGCCAGAGACCGAUAGCGCACAAGUAGAGUGAUCGAAAGAUGAAAAGCACUUUGAAAAGAGGGUUAAACAGCACGUGAAAUUGUUAAAAGGGAAGCGCUUAUGACCAGACUUGCGCCCGGUGAAUCACCCAGCUCUCGCGGCUGGGGCACUUUGCCGGCUCAGGCCAGCAUCAGCUCGCUGUCGGGGACAAAAGCUUCGGGAACGUAGCUCUCUUCGGGGAGUGUUAUAGCCCGUUGCACAAUACCCUUCGGCGGGCUGAGGUACGCGCUCCGCAAGGAUGCUGGCGUAAUGGUCAUCAGCGACCCGUCUUGAAACACGGACCAAGGAGUCAACCUUAUGUGCGAGUGUUUGGGUGUCAAACCCCUACGCGUAAUGAAAGUGAACGCAGGUGAGAGCUUCGGCGCAUCAUCGACCGAUCCUGAUGUUCUCGGAUGGAUUUGAGUAAGAGCAUAUAGGGUUGGACCCGAAAGAAGGUGAACUAUGCGUGUAUAGGGUGAAGCCAGAGGAAACUCUGGUGGAGGCUCGCAGCGGUUCUGACGUGCAAAUCGAUCGUCAAAUAUGCGCAUGGGGGCGAAAGACUAAUCGAACCUUCUAGUAGCUGGUUUCCGCCGAAGUUUCCCUCAGGAUAGCAGUGUUGAACUCAGUUUUAUGAGGUAAAGCGAAUGAUUAGGGACUCGGGGGCGCUAUAUUGCCUUCAUCCAUUCUCAAACUUUAAAUAUGU
rnacentral:rRNA from 1 species